CAAGGCGUAGCUACAACCUAAAGCAUUCAGCUUACACCUGAAAGAUGUCUGAACUACCAGACCGCCUUGA
rnacentral:tRNA from 1 species